UUCCCUCCCACUUUUACCAAUUGCUUUUGCUUUCGUCAUAAUUAUACUUGUCCUCCACUUACCCUCACCCACCGUGGGUUGAUCUUCCCCAAUAGCUACGUUUUUUAAACCUUCUUCAAUUGACUUUCCUCCUCGGCAGAAAACUCAAAGAGAAGACACAGAGAGAGAGAGAGAGAGAGAGAGAGAGAGGAGUCUUCACUCCAAUUCCACAGCCAGACCAGAAUUGAAGGCACGCACUCUAUACCCUCUAUAUAUACAUGGUACUGCAUUGAUCUAAGGAAGAAAAAUAGCCAAGAAGAGGUUUCCUUAAAGCAAUCUGAAGGACUAAACAAAAAAUCUUUUAUGUGAGGUGAAUUACCAUUCUUGAGGACUUCCUUGGCGUUG